AUACGUAGGUGGCGAGCGUUGUCCGGAAUUACUGGGCGUAAAGGAUGCGUAGGUGGAUACUUAAGUGGGAUGUGAAAUCCCCGGGCUCAACCCGGGAACUGCAUUCCAAACUGGGUAUCUAGAGUGCAGGAGAGGAAAGCGGAAUUCCUAGUGUAGCGGUGAAAUGCGUAGAUAUUAGGAGGAACACCAGUGGCGAAGGCGGCUUUCUGGACUGUAACUGACACUGAGGCAUGAAAGCGUGGGUAGCAAACAGGAUUAGAUACCCUGGUAGUCCACGCCGUAAACGAUGGGUACUAGGUGUAGGAGGUAUCGACCCCUUCUGUGCCGUCGUUAACACAAUAAGUACCCCGCCUGGGGAGUACGGUCGCAAGAUUAAAACUCAAAGGAAUUGACGGGG
rnacentral:rRNA from 1 species